rnacentral:lncRNA from 1 species
UAGAUCCAAUCCACCGCCAACAAAAAUCACUACAAUCACCACUAUCAACCACCAACAACCACCCAUUUGGUUAGAGUGCGCUGAUUGAUAUGUACUGUAAAAAUGGGAGAAUUCAUUUGGCUCGGUAUGGGUUUGAUAAGAGUGCAUUUAAAGGAUGUUGCUAUUUGGACUAGCUUGAUAAAUGGACAUAUUUUGAAUUGUUGUAUUGAUUAUGCUAGGAAGUUGUUCGAUGAAAUGCCG